GGCCUGGUGGCGAAGAAGAAACGCGGGUGUCUGCAAAACACUUAUGCAAGGGUGCAAUUCCCUUCCAGGCCU
rnacentral:tRNA from 1 species